CCCAGAGUGCUAGGAUUACAGGCAUGAGCCACCACGCCUGGCCUGUUUUUUCAGGAUAUUUUAUUUCCAAAUAUUCCUCAGGAGUUAGGGGAGAAGGAUUUUGGAGAGCUGAAUAAAUAUGGAAAUGAGGCAGAUCACUCAGAUGAGGCAAAAGAGCCAGACACUGCCGCCACCUUCACUCUAAGCAGGAAAUGCCUGUAUUUUCCCUAUGGGUGUUGGGAAUAAUCUCAAGCUGUCCCCAUCUCCUCUGUCUCCCUGCUGCCUCUGAAGUCACUGAGAAUACUGUUCCCAUUGCUAUUUACUCUAGUAAAUAUUAACUAUUAUUAUUGCUAUUAUUUUAAAUUGAAAGAUAUAUUCAAGAGGAAGAUAUACAAGAGGAAGGCUAGAGGAGAGAGAACAAGUGAGCUAAUAUUUAUUAAACAUCUUUUACAUGCCAUUCACUAUUCUAGGUAUUUUACGUGUCAUUGUAUUUAAUCCUGAGAGGAAGUAAAUCUAACAAUUUAUAGAUAAGGAAGUGGGUUUUGAGAGAUUACUUUACUCAAGGUCACAAAGCUAAAAAAGAGGUCACAAAGUAGAAUUCUGUCACGUGGUUCUACUCACCAGACACAGGAGUAGUACCUGAGGUUAGGAAGAGGGGACUAGACGUCGACAAGGAGGAAAAUCUACACUCUAUCCCAAGCCUAGGACUAGCAGAACUGCUUAGACCCUUCUGACUUCAUUUAUUCAUAAAACCACUGUCUGAGGCAGCAAAGAUAUGAGCAGCGUUAGCAUCUGAGACCCCCACGCCCAGGCAGAAGUAUAGCCAUACUUCCAGAGAAUUGCAUGGAAGCAUACAUCCCUCUGUUAAAUCAAGAGGCUUUCAGCUGACUAGUAUCACCAACCUACAAAAAAUUGGAGGCAGUGAAGUAUGAAUUAUUAUUGUUACAAAUAAACUACAAUUUACACAUCCAAA